rnacentral:lncRNA from 1 species
GCCUCGCUCUGCAAAGUCUUCAAUGCUUUUGGUCACUCGUCAAACGUCCUUGAAUCUUCCAAAAAAAGUUUACUACUCAUCGGAAAAAAUUAACACACAAUCAAUAAACAAUACAUGCAAAGGGCUCCAAAAUUUAUAAAAAUAGUAUUAUUGGAAGGAGGAAAAUAUUAGAUGAAUUUAGGAAAAAAAAUCAAAUGAUACGAAAUUGCAGUUUUUUAAAUAUAACUAGCAAAAUGCCCAUGUGUUGCAAUGGAAAAUAAUAAUAAUCAAUUAACACAUACUACAUCAGAUUACGUAAUUUCCUUAUUAAUAACUCCAUGAAGUCCAGUUAACAUUGCUUAGGCUCGACUUUUAGUUUAGUAACAAUAUACAUUAUGUUAUGUCAAGAAGGUGUGAAGCAACACUAAUGAUCACAUCCUAAAGUGGUCCUCAAAAACCAAGAGUGGACAUCUACACUCAAUCAUAGGUGUCGUAGUAUUUUUCCAGUGAAUUAACAUGCCUUUGUCAAAAGAUGCUAAUCAUCAAUGUGACCUUGUCUUACAGCAUGCAUUUAUAUUUAGUGAGCAUAAUAGAUUGGGUCCAAUAGGCGUGAGAUACUGGCCAAUUCUCUUUUUUUCUUGCGGGGCAGACACUACACUAACUCUAAAUUUAACUCUUCUAAAUUCAUCAUUCCUUCCCUUAAAAGCCCAAAAGAUAAAAAAGAAUUAGCCAAACAUUCAAAAGGCCAGUAAAUAUAUUAGUUCAAUGAGAAUAGACAGAUGAAGCAGCAAUGAUCAAUAAUAAAUACUUGGACGGGGAAUGAAUUACUCCUACUGAGUUAGCUAUGGUGCAGCACCGUAACCUUGCAAUAGCAGCCCACAUGGAGGUGAUCCGGCUUGCAUUCCCGGUCCACAACUGUUGUGGCCAGACGCUGCUCCUGGUGUAGGAUUCUGCAAUCAAAUCCAGCCUUGGCAGUAGCACCUAUAUGAAUGUAACUCAACUGUUCAACAUCACAGUGUCUUCAGCAAAGGAUGAAUGGACAGUAAUCCUCUGCUCGUGUUGCGAUGUUAAAAUGUGAUGUCUAUGAAAGAGAGACUAAGAAGAAUUAGCUAAUCUUAAUAAGCAAUCAUCGAUUUAAAUCCACGUUGGUUGUAAUGAUUUUACUGAUAGCACAUCAGUUUCUCAAUUCUAAAUUCAUAUUGCGAUCACCUACGCAUUACUGGACAAUGGUUCAGACUUCAGACGGGGAGUGGCUUCUAUAGCCUACCGCUCCAGUUAGUAAUACUAAGGGGGAAGAAUAGUAAGCGAAACAAAAAUUGCUGGAGCCGAGGAAGUCGAUGAUGAACUGACCAUGUGGUAAACAGUAGGCAAAAGACGUAAAUCCAAACAUAGUCCAUGCAGAACCGCCUCACUGGUGAGAAGGCGUUGUCUUCGUAAGUAAUACUGAAUGCCAGCAACUCAAAAGUACUGACAAAAUCUACCUCUUGGCUAGUUAACAGAAAGGAGUACUGAUAGCAUCAAGGUAAAAUACAACAGUUCUAAUAACUUAUGAUUUCCAACUAUGAGUUCAUCAGUUAGGGGCGACAAUAAAAUGAAAGAGUCGUUAGUUGUUAAGUUUACCCAAACAAUAUCCAGACUUUUUAGUUUAAAUUGUUAGACCCGGACCAGCAGCGCCGAACAGUCUCUACCACAGGUCCACGGUCGAAUCAGAGCUAUUAAUUGUGUCAUCUAUGUCACUCAUUAAAUGUGAAAUAUCAUCGGCCUUGCUACAACUACUCCAAAGUCAAACAAUAAAGGAAAAUAACAUAAUGCUCUGUCCAGACUACUCCAUAUUUGAAAACAGGAACUAAGCAGAAUCUCAUGAAGCAAGAACUACUUAUCGACUGCACAUACCACCAUAACCAAGCCUACUUGAAGCAAACAAGAAACCGAGCUAAGUCCCGUGAGACGCCACCAAAUCAAGUACACGCCAGCCUACCCAACUCACAGGUCACCUCAAUGACCCGUCCCCGCCUCAUCGAAAUUCCCCAAGAAAAAACCCAGAAAGAGAUUGGAGAGGGAAACAGACAGGGUGCCUCUCACCUUGGUAUUCAGGUUCAGUUCAGAAAGUGUAUAAGACUCGUCGAUUCAGUUCAGAAAGGCUAGCAUAAUUCUGAGGUUAUGAGCUUACUGACGCUCGUAAAUUCUUUCUAGUUCAGUAUGUGAGAACUGAGCUAGUGAGUUAUAAUCCCAAAGCCAUAUAUGCUACCUACAUUAUUGGACACAACAUGCAAGCACGGUGCACUGGUUAGAUCUUAUCAGGUAAGCUAUCUUUACCAUCUCACCCUAACGAAUACUCAGUAGUUAGCCAUAGCCACGGACAGCGCCAUCAGCCUCCCGUGCACAUGCACGCGCACGCGCACGCGCACACACACACACAAAGCAAAGCAAAGCUGGCCGCUCGUUGCACUAUACUGGGACAGGCGCAGUUUCUUCACUAGAGAAACAAUGCAUAUGGUUGAGACUUUUUCAGACAACUCAAUUGCAACAUCACAUUCUAAUUUCUAACCUACAAGUGCAGAACAUCAAGUCUGUUCAGGUAGGAGUAGAACCAGGAUUACCAACAGCCAAGAUUUAAUUUUGUCAGAGUUUUGCACUCCAUGCACUACGCUGAACGCGGCGGAAGUUUUUAACCGGAGAAGGAUUGUACACGUUUCAGACUGCCUCGGACAAAAUAGUUUGCCUGAUUGCAACUAAUUAGCUUCGAUCUGUCUCAACUCACAGGGAAGAAAUUGCAGACGAAUCUAUUUGGAUUUGGCAGCGACCUAUCACAAGGCAGAGCGAGGGAGAAGUGCAGAUGAGGGCGGGGGGCUGAGCUUACCUCCCGGCGU